rnacentral:lncRNA from 1 species
AUGUAUUCUUAUUAACUUUUACAACAAAUUUCAACUGCAAAUUCAUUGCGAAUCUUGAGAUAUCUUGAAAACUCUAAAAAUCACUUCAAAUCCUUGUCUUUAUAUACCUACAUGGAAUUUUCUUCAUAUCUCACAAAAUAUAAGCUCAAAUGCCAUGAAAUUUAUAUGUAUAGCUUCUUAAUACAAAAUUUUAUAUUUUACAAAAUGUUUGAGCUAAAAAUUCUUCCGAAAACUCAAGUUAUGGCUCCAACCAUUACUAUAAAUAAAACCGCUCACUUACUACCUUUGAUUUGGAAGCGCCGCCUUCAACUCCUUAUAACUCCUUUACAUGAACUCUAAAAGCAAUAAUUUUUUCAUGAAAGAUGUAGGCCUUAAAAUCUCUAUUCUAUUCACACCUUUCGAUCUUCAAAAGCUACUGUAAAACUCCUCGUAUCCUCAAAAGAGUAACAAUAUGUCUUAAAUUAAUACCUUAACUUCAAAUGGCUAUAACUUCUUCAUCCUAACUCCAAAUCCUAUAAUUUUUAUACACAAAUUCUACCCCAAAUCCAAAACUUUACAAACCUAGCUUUUAAACUCUGAAUGAUUUAUUUGAAGUCGCCAAAACCCUUGUUAAGGUCACAAGCAACCUCCUCAAAGUCCAUUUGGCAUGGUAUUCGACAAAUAGGGAUGAAGUUCUCCAUUCCUUGCCGUCAUCCGACCAUGCCUUGCUUUCAUCCCUCUCAAUUAGCCUUCUAUUAGUUUAGAUUUUCAUCCUCAUGCUUCCACCUUCUGCCAAGGCUUCAUACUAAAUAUUUUGGUUGUAUAUUUUUUUUUAAUG